rnacentral:rRNA from 1 species
GGUAACGUACGUUUACGUUCGUAAGGGAAAGGGUACUUCUUCGGGACAAUAUACAAGGUGCUGCAUGGUUGUCGUCAGCUCGUGCCGUGAGGUGUCGGGUUAAGUCCCAUAACGAGCGCAACCCCUAUCAUUAGUUGCCAUCAGGUCAAGCUGGGGACUCUAAUGAAACUGGCCUACGCAAGUAGUGAGGAAGGUGGGGAUGACGUCAAAUCAGCACGGCCCUUACGUCCAGGGCUACACACGUGCUACAAUGGCCGGUACAAAGGGCAGCUACCUGGUGACAGGAUGCUAAUCUCAAAGCCGGUCUCAGUUCGGAUCGGAGUCUGCAACCCGACUCCGUGAAGUCGGAAUCGCUAGUAAUCGUGAAUCAGAAUGUCACGGUGAAUACGUUCCCGGGCCUU